rnacentral:rRNA from 1 species
UACGAAGGGGGCUAGCGUUGUUCGGAAUUACUGGGCGUAAAGCGCACGUAGGCGGAUCGAUCAGUCAGGGGUGAAAUCCCAGGGCUCAACCCUGGAACUGCCUUUGAUACUGUCGAUCUGGAGUAUGGCAGAGGUGUGUGGAACUCCGAGUGUAGAGGUGAAAUUCGUAGAUAUUCGGAAGAACACCAGUGGCGAAGGCGACACACUGGGGCCAUUACUGACGCUGGAGGCGCGAAAGCGUGGGGGAGCAAACAGG